rnacentral:lncRNA from 1 species
UAGCUCAUUGACCAUCCACUUAUGAUCUAAGUGCUUUCCUCUAUUAUAUAAUACUUCAUUUAAAAGUUUUUAAGGAAUCCACUGGAGUUUUUCAUUAAGCCCUUGUCUCUUUUUCCAAUUAUCUGUAUAUGUUUUAAUCCCCAUAACAGGACAGGAAGAAUAGCUGUGGAGAUGCUCAGGUAAGACUGAAAAGUAGCCAGGCAAAGAAGCACAACUUAGAAAUGUCCACAGUGUCCUUCGACUGGCUGGAAGACCCAUCUGGCUCCAAUAUGUUCACCUUCAAAGGUCACCUGCCUAGUGCCCACCUCACAGAAGGAACAGCUUCAUAAGCUCAUGUACUCAGAGGUUUAGAAAGAGAGAAAUAGAGUCGCCUGGAAGAUGCCAAAUCACCCCGCUGCAGACAGAUAGGUCUGCCCACGCCCCACCGAGGUCCUGAGUCGCACAGAACACUCUGAAUCAGCCUGCUGCAGGCAGACAGGUCUGUGCACGCCCUACCGAGGUCCGAGUCACGCGGAAGAUGCUGAAUCACCCCGCUGCAGACAGGCAGCCACCUGGUUCCAUACUACAAAGAUGCAGAGGAGACCAGACCAACAGACCAAGGUACUGAGUCUCGCUGCUCCCAGCCAAGAGCAACAUCUCUUCGGUGAAGACUUACAGAGAAUAGGGAUGCUUUGGUCAGCUCUGCCACCACCAAUAAGCAUAUAUCAAGAACCUAUGACAUGCUAGGUGAUGGAGAAACAAAGAGAUUGAGUCAGCUUCUUCCCAAUUGCCCCUCCUUCCUGUAGGAUUCGUAAGUCCACACGGAAACACUGGUACUUAAACAAUGAAGAAUAAACUUUGAGCUAAGCAUGGGCUAUCGCUCACAUGGCCUGAUCUUCCCAAUCAGCUUUCAGAGAGGUUCUCAGUAACCUAGAGUGCAAGCCAGCCCUGAGUUAUGCCAAGAGAGCCUUCUCCAGCCUGGCUUUGCUUUGCUGGCUUGUCCCUGAAACAGCAGAUAAACAAUGGGUGGCGGAGCUCCAUCCCAGGGAGCGUGUUGAUGCCUUUCAAAGAGGGACUGGCUGAGCUCACAUGCCACAAGCCUUUCAGAGGAGAGUUUAAAUCAAGUGAAUUGAACGCAGUUUUGAAAUGGAAAUCAGCGAGCCCAGUUUGGUGCGGGCUUCUUGUCAAUAGGAAGCCAGAGGCUCCGACUGCCAGUCUGGUUUUCUCCUACUCUCAUUCAAAAGAAGCAGACCCUGAGCCGGGAGAGAGACAGCAAGUUAGAGAGGGGCUUCAGCCUUGGAACCCUUGA